ensembl:lncRNA
CCUGGCCCUGGGUCUCAUUCCCAUUGGCAUAAUCCUGAUCUGUGAAGGGCCCCCGACACUUCUGACACCUUCAAGUUCAAAAGCUUCGCCCCCUUCUGACAGUCCCAAUCUGACAAAUGUAGCCCCUAGGGUCUUGCCCACCACUUCCUCUCCAGUUUUGCCCACGCCCGAUCCAUUUAGAAAGAAACGAGACACGGUUACCUCCUCGCCAACGGAUGAUGAAAACUCUGAUCGACAGCUGUUACUGCUUUCAUCGGGAACCGAGACUGCUUGCAGCCGACCCCUGGGCAGGGUGGUGCCUGGACUCUUUUCUCCUCAUCUGCAAUGACAGAUAAAGACAAAUGAUAAGACCCGAGGAGUUUUUCGAGCCAGGCUUCGACACGUCUCUGUGUUCCUUUGAAUGUUACUUAUUUUUGUGUGUUGACCCAUUUAAGAUGGGUCAAAAGGGGGAUUUGAAGAAAAUAUAAUUUGAUCAAACAUUAUUCAGCUUUAAAUAUUGUUCAGCUUUAAAGUUACUGUGCAACUGUGUAAUAAAAAUGUGUGCUCACGACUUUGGCCUUGAGAGCGAUAAGAAGCGAUCGCC